UUAAGGGCGCACGGUGGAUGCCUUGGCACCAGGAACCGAUGAAGGACGUGGGAGGCCACGAUAGUCCCCGGGGAGUCGUCAACCAGGCUUUGAUCCGGGGGUUUCCGAAUGGGGAAACCCGGCAGUCGUCAUGGGCUGUCACCCUCGCCUGAACACAUAGGGCAAGUGGAGGGAACGCGGGGAAGUGAAACAUCUCAGUACCCGCAGGAAGAGAAAACAACCGUGAUUCCGGGAGUAGUGGCGAGCGAAACCGGAUGAGGCCAAACCGUAUGCGUGUGAGACCCGGCAGGGGUUGCGUAUACGGGGUUGUGGGAUCUCUCUUUUACAGUCUGCCGGCUGUGAGACGAGUCAGAAACCGUUGAUGUAGGCGAAGGACAUGCGAAAGGUCCGGCGUAGAGGGUAAGACCCCCGUAGCUGAAACAUUGACGGCUCGUUUGAGAGACACCCAAGUAGCACGGGGCCCGAGAAAUCCCGUGUGAAUCUGGCGGGACCACCCGCUAAGCCUAAAUAUUCCCUGGUGACCGAUAGCGGAUAGUACCGUGAGGGAAUGGUGAAAAGUACCGCGGGAGCGGAGUGAAAUAGUACCUGAAACCGUGUGCCUACAAGCCGUGGGAGCGUCGCGCAUCGAGUUUACUCGGUGCGUCGUGACUGCGUGCCUUUUGAAGAAUGAGCCUGCGAGUUUGCGGUGUGUUGCGAGGUUAACCCGAGUGGGGUAGCCGUAGCGAAAGCGAGUCCGAACAGGGCGAUUUUAGUAGCACGCUCAAGACCCGAAGCGGAGUGAUCUAGCCAUGGGCAGGUUGAAGCGGAGGUAAGACUUCGUGGAGGACCGAACCCACCAGGGUUGAAAACCUGGGGGAUGACCUGUGGUUAGGGGUGAAAGGCCAAUCAAACUCCGUGAUAGCUGGUUCUCCCCGAAAUGCAUUUAGGUGCAGCGUCGUGUGUUUCUUGCCGGAGGUAGAGCACUGGAUAGGCGAUGGGCCCUACCGGGUUACUGACCUUAGCCAAACUCCGAAUGCCGGUAAGUGAGAGCACGGCAGUGAGACUGUGGGGGAUAAGCUCCAUGGUCGAGAGGGAAACAGCCCAGAGCAUCGACUAAGGCCCCUAAGCGUACGCUAAGUGGGAAAGGAUGUGGAGUCGCACAGACAACCAGGAGGUUGGCUUAGAAGCAGCCACCCUUGAAAGAGUGCGUAAUAGCUCACUGGUCUAGUGAUUCCGCGCCGACAAUGUAGCGGGGCUCAAGCGUACCGCCGAAGUCGUGUCAUUCCAGCAUAUAGGGCCAACGCCUGCUGGGAUGGGUAGGGGAGCGUCGUGUGCCGGGUGAAGCAGCCGCGGAAGCGAGUUGUGGACGGUUCACGAGUGAGAAUGCAGGCAUGAGUAGCGAUACACACGUGAGAAACGUGUGCGCCGAUUGACCAAGGGUUCCUGGGUCAAGCUGAUCUGCCCAGGGUAAGUCGGGACCUAAGGCGAGGCCGACAGGCGUAGUCGAUGGAUAACCGGUUGAUAUUCCGGUACCCGCUGUGAAGCGUCAAACACUGAACCAGGCGAUGCUAAGUCCGUGAAGCCGUUCCGGACCCUUCGGGGAAAGGAAAGUGGUGGAGCCGACGGACCAGACUUGUAGUAGGUGAGUGAUGGGGUGACGCAGGAAGGUAGUCCAUCCCGGGCGGUGGUUGUCCCGGGGUAAGGGUGUAGGCCGUGCGAUAGGUAAAUCCGUCGUACUUGUGGCUGAGACCUGAUGCCGAGCCGAUUGUGGUGAAGUGGAUGAUCCUAUGCUGUCGAGAAAAGCCUCUAGCGAGUUUCAUGGCGGCCCGUACCCUAAACCGACUCAGGUGGUCAGGUAGAGAAUACCGAGGCGUUCGGGUGAACUAUGGUUAAGGAACUCGGCAAAAUGCCCCCGUAACUUCGGGAGAAGGGGGGCCAUCACUGGUGAUCCGAUUUACUCGGUGAGCUGGAGGUGGCCGCAGAGACCAGCGAGAAGCGACUGUUUACUAAAAACACAGGUCCGUGCGAAGCCGUAAGGCGAUGUAUACGGACUGACGCCUGCCCGGUGCUGGAACGUUAAGGGGACCGGUUAGUCACAUUUCGGUGUGGCGAAGCUGAGAACUUAAGCGCCAGUAAACGGCGGUGGUAACUAUAACCAUCCUAAGGUAGCGAAAUUCCUUGUCGGGUAAGUUCCGACCUGCACGAAUGGCGUAACGACUUCUCGACUGUCUCAACCAUAGGCCCGGUGAAAUUGCACUACGAGUAAAGAUGCUCGUUUCGCGCAGCAGGACGGAAAGACCCCGGGACCUUUACUACAGUUUGAUAUUGGUGUUCGGUUCGGCUUGUGUAGGAUAGCUGGGAGACUUUGAAGCUCGGACGCCAGUUCGGGUGGAGUCGUCGUUGAAAUACCAGUCUGGUCGUGCUGGAUGUCUAACCUGGGUCCGUGAUCCGGAUCAGGGACAGUGUCUGAUGGGUAGUUUAACUGGGGCGGUUGCCUCCUAAAGAGUAACGGAGGCGCCCAAAGGUUCCCUCAGCCUGGUUGGCAAUCAGGUGGUGAGUGUAAGUGCACAAGGGAGCUUGACUGUGAGACCGACGGGUCGAGCAGGGACGAAAGUCGGGACUAGUGAUCCGGCGGUGGCUUGUGGAAGCGCCGUCGCUCAACGGAUAAAAGGUACCCCGGGGAUAACAGGCUGAUCUUCCCCAAGAGUCCAUAUCGACGGGAUGGUUUGGCACCUCGAUGUCGGCUCGUCGCAUCCUGGGGCUGGAGUCGGUCCCAAGGGUUGGGCUGUUCGCCCAUUAAAGCGGUACGCGAGCUGGGUUUAGAACGUCGUGAGACAGUUCGGUCCCUAUCCGCUGCGCGCGCAGGAAUAUUGAGAAGGGCUGUCCCUAGUACGAGAGGACCGGGACGGACGAACCUCUGGUGUGCCAGUUGUCCUGCCAAGGGCAUGGCUGGUUGGCUACGUUCGGGAGGGAUAACCGCUGAAAGCAUCUAAGCGGGAAGCCUGCUUCGAGAUGAGUAUUCCCACCCACUUGAUGGGGUAAGGCUCCCAGUAGACGACUGGGUUGAUAGGCCAGAUAUGGAAGCCUGGUAACGGGUGGAGUUGACUGGUACUAAUAGGCCGAGGGCUUGUCCU
rnacentral:rRNA from 1 species